CUACGGGGCGCAGCAGUUAGGGAUAUUCGGCAAUGGGGGAAACCCUGACCGAGCAAUGCCGCGUGAAUGAAGAAGUAUUUCGAUAUGUAAAGUUCUGUUGUUAAGGAAGAAAGGUACGAAUAGGAAAUGAUUCGUAAUUGACGGUACUUAACCAGAAAGCCCCUGCUAACUACGUGCCAGCAGCAGCGGUAAUACGUAGGGGGCGAGCGUUAUCCGGAAUUAUUGGGCGUAAAGGGUGCGUAGGCGGCCUGUCAAGUCCGAGUUGAAAGCCCACGGCUUAACCGUGGAGGGUGCUCGGAAACUGAUAGGCUUGAAUCCAGAAGAGGCAAGUGGAAUUCUAUGUGGAGCGGUGGAAUGCGUAGAUAUAUGGAGGAACACCAGUGGCGAAGGCGGCUUGCUGGGCUGGUAUUGACGCUGAUGCACGAAAGCGUGGGGAGCAAACAGGAUUAGAUACCCUAGUAGUC
rnacentral:rRNA from 1 species